UACAGAGGGUGCGAGCGUUGUCCGGAAUCACUGGGCGUAAAGGGCGCGUAGGUGGCGACCCAAGUCGAUGGUGAAAGCUCGCCGCUCAACGGCGAGUCGGCCACCGAUACUGGGUUGCUGGAGCACUGUAGAGGCAGAUGGAAUUCCGGGUGUAGCGGUGGAAUGCGUAGAGAUCCGGAAGAACACCGGUGGCGAAGGCGGUCUGCUGGGCAGUUGCUGACACUGAGGCGCGACAGCGUGGGGAGCA
rnacentral:rRNA from 1 species